UACGGGGGGGGCAAGCGUUGUUCGGAAUUACUGGGCGUAAAGGGCUCGUAGGCGGCCAACUAAGUCAGACGUGAAAUCCCUCGGCUUAACCGGGGAACUGCGUCUGAUACUGGAUGGCUUGAGUUUGGGAGAGGGAUGCGGAAUUCCAGGUGUAGAGGUGGAAUUCGUAGAUAUUGGGAAGAACACCGGUGGCGAAGGCGGCUCUCUGGACCGAGACUGACGCUGAGGCGCGAAAGCGUGGGGAGCAAACAGG
rnacentral:rRNA from 1 species